UUUGGUGGUCUCAGCUGAGUUUCCAGCAAGUUUUAGACUGCAUUACAAAUUCAUCAUGCACAAUUAUGUACAAUUUGGCACAGUUUCCAAUCCCUGCUUAGGAGAAACUCUCUGUUUCAGGCUAAGUGGGAGAAUAAAAUACUUCUUGGGCCUAGAGGAGCACUUCUCUUAGGUCAAGACUGUGGUACCUAUAGAAAGAGAUGGGAUAGAAGUAUUGUCAAUUACAAAGACUCUAGUAAUAGAUAUUGGAUAUCAACUGUGCUUACUGUUUGAAAUUCCUCACUCUUAGAGUCUUCAUUCAAACAAAGGAUGCUGGCAGUUCCAACACUAAUGGGCACGUUAGUUAUCUCAGCUUUAACUGACACAAGUGAGUUAUGACCUAUGAAUAUUUUCUACUCUUCUAACAUAGAAGGAUGCAAAAUCAGUUUAGAAGGUAGUCAAGGAAAAAAAUUCACAGACUUGAUUAGGUGUCUAAUAAGUUGGAACAAAUAUAUUAUGAAUCUCUAGAAAUCUCAAAUAUGUCUAGCAUUGCAGUAAUGCACAGUAAUUGUUUGAUUGAACAUAGGCCAACUCAGGAAAUGAAAAUUCUAGCAAUUAACUUUUUCCAUAGUCCAUUCCUCUCACAUUCCAUAUAGUCAACUUGGAUUUGUUUUUAAUUAUUUGAAGAGAAGUUUGCUGAAGAGCAAAAUGUUCCUCGCUUUGUUCUAGUUCUUAAGGAGUUGGCAUUUUACUAGCAAGUUCAGCAUAUAAGACUAAAUACUUUGAUUCCUGCACAAAUAAUCAUAAGCCAUAAUCAGAAACUGGACAGUAAGGAUCUCUCCAGUAUCAUCCAUUAGUUAGUUCUGGGUGGCAAGAUAAAUCCAGCCUGGGAAUUGUGCUAUUGAUAAAUUUAUAUUUCUUCCUCUGAAUUAUUCCUGCAUCCAUGGUUACAUUUACAAAAAUACUGAGACUAGAGUUUGUUGGUAGUUGGAGUAACCUAAAAUAGCCCCUGGUUAUUGCACUAUCACUAUCACUCAUUAAAACUUAAUGAAGACCAACAAACUGUUGAUUAGUAUGAGCAAAGAAAGCCAACCAAGUAGCCAAAGGACAAUAACUCAAAUAAGCAUAAUGUGGACAUUUCAACUCUUAUUCCAAGAAACUCUGGCUUGGAUAUGAAACAGAUUGUCUUUCUAAUUAAAAACAAAAGGACACAAGGUAGCCAGGGGUGCAUAGGUUGUUAAGAGAACUUUCUCGCUUCAGCCUCAUACCUGAAAGUGAUAUAGGAGGUAAAACAACUGGUGGUGAGAAUAUCCCACCAAGAACAUCCCAAGGCAGUUUAUUGAGUGGGAGCUCCAGCCAUCUUCCCUAGGAAAGUCAGCACCCUUCUUGUGCAGAUGAAGUGUUAACUCCCACCAGCUCACCCCUCGGGCAUCCUGCCACAAAUUGUUGGCGGUAGCUAAUGUCAUUCUUCUGAGGUCUGUCCUAAAUAAACAGUAAUAAACUCAGCUGUGUAGGCAAUUCAAUUUCUUAUUUGCUUGUUAGAAACCGACCAACAUACACAGGAAUUAAUUAAUUCUUUGGGAGACAGCAUAAAAAGCACCAAGGCUUAGAAAUCAGACUAACAUUUAGUUUUAUUUGCCUCUUCCAAGCUGUGUACCUUAAAUUAAAUCACUUAAGUUUCUGUGGUUUGGUAUAUUCAUGCAUAAAAUAGGACUGGAUCAUUCUUCCUGUUUUUAGUAAGGAAUGUUUUAUGAACCUCUUCCCAUAGAUUGGCACACAGCUGUAAUUACUUCCGAUGAUCUUUAAAAUAUUGCUGUGGUACUUGUGGUAAAUCUUUGUUGCAGAUAAGGCAAUGCCUAUCAAAGUACUGAUUGAUGUUUGCAGAAGGAGAAAAUCAGAGCUGACAAUUCCUCCUUUCUAAAGUGUUACAGCUCCAAGUAAUACCUAGCUGUACUGACUCAAGAGCAAAUGAGAAGGGGAAAUUAAAAAAGGAGGAGGUGAAGAAAUGUAAAAGGCAAGAUAGAGUGCAGUGGUACCCCUCGUAAACUAUAGAUAGAGAUGUAACAGAAUUUUUAUAACCACUGGAAAUAGAAAAGGGACCAUAGCUGCCAGCAACAUGGUAGUCCAGACAUCCUAGGUAGAGAACACCUGAAGAUACUGACUAAAAUAUUAAAUUCACAUUGCUAAAGCAUAUAUGAGCUAUAAAUUAAAAGAAAUUCUGAACGGUCAGAAAUGAAGGAAAAGAGUGAAUGCAGAGGAAAGCAUGGGCUGGAGACAUCUGCCAAGUCCUGAUAGUGAUGUAGUCAUAUGAAGAAGAGACAAAACCUGAGGGCCAGAGAAGAGCAAAAGGUAGAGAUACCUUUACAAAUGUCGGAACCCCCCUCCCACUCAGAGGGAAGUACCCUCCAUUAGAAAACCACUUGGGAAAGAGAUACCUUAUUUCUCCUUGUCUUUACCCUGACUCUGAAUAGACUGGAGAGAAGGAAUGGGGAGGACCUCAGAUGUCUGCUCACAAAACAAGUGUGGGCCCUGACAAAAACUCAGGUGACAAUUUAAGUUAAGGUGGAUCCAUGCUAAUAAUGCCUCAGAGUAGAAGAAAGCCAAAAAUCCUCUCCCCAACAAUAAGUUUUAGUCUCAGACCUUAAAGAAUUCCCAGAGAGGAAACUCCAAGAACUUUGAGUUCAUAAUCAAAGGUCCUUAAACCCAUAUAUGACUCUAUGAAGUAUAAUAAACAAAAACAGUAUUUUUUUUUGGACCACACCCACGGUAUAUGGAAGUUCCUAGGCUAAGGGUUGAAUCAGAGUGACAGCUGCCAGCCUGUACCACAGCCACAGCAACACAAGAUCCGAACUGUGUCUGUGACCAAUACCACAGCUCAUGGCAACAGCGGAUCCUUAACUCACUGAGCAGGGCUACCAGAGAUGGAACCUACAUCCUCAUGGAUUCUAGUGGGGUUUGUUACCUCUGAGCCUCCACAGGAACUCCCAGUAAAUUACUUUAACAGAACUUCAAAACAUACAGAUAUUGAAAUGAUCAGAUAUAGAAUAACAUGCCCAUAUUCUAUGACUCAAGAAUAGUGGUUAACAAAUCUGACUAGGAACCAUGAGGUUGCGGGUUCGAUCCCUGGCCUUGCUCAGUGGGUUAACAAUCCGGUGUGGCCGUGAGCUGUGGUGUAGGUUGCAGACGCAGCUCAGAUCCCGCGUUGCUGUGGCUCUGGCAUAGGCUGGUAGCUACAGCUCCUAUUCGACCCCUAGCCUGGGAACCUCCAUAUGCUGCA
rnacentral:lncRNA from 1 species